rnacentral:rRNA from 1 species
ACGCUCGACACCUACGGAGGCAGCAGUGAGGGAUAUUGGUCAAUGGGGGAAACCCUGAACCAGCAACGCCGCGUGAGGGAUGACGGUCUUCGGAUUGUAAACCUCUGUCCUCUGUGAAGAUAAUGACGGUAGCAGAGGAGGAAGCUCCGGCUAACUACGUGUCAGCAGCCGCGGUAAUCUGAGCGGGCUGGCAAGGC